GUCUUAAAAACCUGUCACUGCGUCAGAAUCUCUCUCACCAGUCCUGAGCCUGGCCACCCACCACCACAAAUACACACAAAAGAGACUUUGGUGCAGAAAAAAGAAGAAAAGCACACUUCCUUCUCCCCAAUAAGGUUGAGGGAGACCUGGCAGGGCAGCAACCUCCUGCCUGCCCAUGACCUGUCAAGGCCACCCGCCUGCAACCAUGCAGGCCUCUCUGAGCACACCUGUCCCUUCUCGGGGAGCUCUUCUGCCUGCUGUGUCUAUAUUCGUCUACACCGUCUCGUCCUUACGGGAACCCCUGACACUUUUUGCCGGAGCUGGCUUCCGGCAGACCGCCUCUCAGGAACAUCCUUUGUUGGACGGGCCCUCCGGCCUAGAGACUUCCACGGCUUGGUGAGCUGCCCUGGCAGAACAUCGGACUAUGACACUUUGCACUGUGGCUUUGGUUGAAACAACUUUGGGUUCAUUGGGUUGGCUUUUCCUGUUCGAUUUAAUAAAUUCUCUUUUGAGAGCCAACCCCCAACUGAAGCCUGCUUCUCACUCACGACAGUCUUGAACUUUUCAAGGAUGUUUGUACAGUGAACAGCUUUGGAAGAAGGAUGAUUUCCCCCUUCAGGACAAAGGGCAGGCGUGUUUGCUGUGCAACGUAAUUUAGGCACUGUCUGAAGGCAGGGGCAGCGCUGCUACUGCCCGCUGUGAAACAUUCCGGUUCUCCACGCUCAGACUCCUCUGCUAUACACUCACGGCCCUCUAGGAAGGAUCCUGAGUUAUACAUUGUUAGGUGAUUUCAUCAUUGCAUGAGCAUCUUAGGGUGUGACCGCACAAACUGGAAGGUCCAGCCGCCACACAUCGCGGCUGCACCCCGUGGCUCCUCAGGGCCCCCGGCGUCUGUGUGCUCCCUUGUGACUGUCCUGCAGCCCACAUAUGUGCAGCUCUUCUACCCCCUUCAUCUUGCCCUGUGGGAAUUUAGAUCGGGGGAAAUGGCCCUCUGAAUGCUGACACUCUGGCUAUCAGUAAGAAACUGUCCUUUUCCCUCUGACCCGGGAGCCUCAUGUCUUUUACCAACAUCCAUGAAGCCGUAGUUAGAAAACUGCCCAUUCUCAGUGCCAUCCUGGCUUGUGUGUCCUCUGUCACCCAAGAGGGGGUUGGCAGCAGGACGGCAAGUCUUCCUCUUCUGGAAUCUGGAAUCACUCCUGGGUCUCCCUGGAAUUGCCUGCUUUCUGUUCUGAAGUCUGGGGUUCUAUUGUGAAGAAGGCAUUUCUGGAACAAUCAUUGUAGGGGAGAAUGAGAGACAGUGCAGGACGGCAUAUCAGGUUUCACCUCUGGCACGGAACAUUGUCUAAGCUCUGGCUACUUGCAUACUACCUUGAGCUGUAGUUUCGCCCACUCUGUCUGCAGUCUCCACAAUGGCUUUCAUGAUGUUAUUUUUAAUUGACUUGCCCUUUUAUUUACUUGGAUCAUUCUUUUAGCAGGAAACAAUAUCACUAUGAUAGAUGGGAAAUCCAGGGCUGCUUGCUGCAAGGACAGGAGACACCUUUGCAAAUAAACACAAUGAAAACAAAAUAGCGUCACCAAAUGAAACCAGACACAAUUGCCUCUGAAGACCGUGGUCCUGCUCUGACCAUUGGGGGCGGGGUAGGGGGUAUUAGCCAGGCCAGGGAGGUUUGAAGACAGACACUUUCCAAACAGUCUUUCUCCUGGAUGUAAUGAGCAGAGUCAGGAGAUGAGUGAAAUCAGAGGCUCUUCCUAAUCUUGCGAUUCAAGCUUAUCUGACUCUAUGGGAACUUCUGACCCAAACUUUUCAAGCACCAGCAGAGGUGUGGGUACCCGCUUGCGAAACGCUAGUCAGCAGUGGUAUCUAACCAGGAGAUUCUCCUGCUCGUGAAGCUCCUCCCUCAGCCACCUCAGCACUUGCUGUCUCCACUGUCCCCCAGAACAGCCAGGGGCCUCUCCAGAACUCAGCCUCAACAUCACUCACCUCUCAAGACUCCAGCUUCCCCUUAGGAUGAUGUCCAGGCUCUUUAACCAGAAGUCAAGGUCAUCCACAGUCUGGGCUCAUGUCCCUCCUACACUGCCCUGCAUUGUAGUCCAGAAGGAUCACUUACAGUUUACUCAUCCCCUCAGCCAUUAAUUGAGUGCCAGCUAGUGUUUUGUUCACCUCUAAAUGGCAUGUGGAUGACAUUUAAAUAUCAUUCUCAGAAGGAACAAAAAUAUCUUGUUAAGCAUGAAGCCCUGAAGCCCUUCUCUCUCUCUCCCCCCAACCCCCGCCCAAUUUCCUGGCCCUGAGGAGUGGGGCACAGUGCUAAAGUGCUAGGUUAAAGACUCAGGGGUCAUGUCACAGAUUUAGCACAAGGAGGCGGCUGGCUGAUGCUUCCACCUGAGCUUCCUUUGGAAUUGCCCUAAGGUGUCUGUGGUCAAAGCAUCACUAACUCGCCCAGCCUUUGCUCCCCAGCCUUCAGAAUUGUGCACAUCACAUCCAGCACCUAAAGCAGUCCUGUUUAUUCAUCCUGUACAAAACUCUGCAAGUAAUUGCUGGAGUCAAAAACCUGGAGAUAGGAUGUUCGUGAUUGAAGAAGAGACCGCAGCAGAGGUCCUUUCCUUCCCAGCAGAGGACCCCAUGGCUUGGCCUCAUGGGUGUCCCAUGAACAGACUGCAGGGGGCCAUGCAGGAGGCAGAGCCAUAGCGCCUGUGGGCCCAAGUCUCACAACAGCUUCUCCCAUUGCCUCAUCAGUAUUUAAAGGGCGCCCUGUGUGUUUGACCCUGUGUUAGGGCUGGCAACAAGUUGCUGGGCCUAGAGGAAGCCUCUCCUGUUUCCCAGCCCUAGAGUUUAGGUGCCCACUCUUGGCAGCGGUGAAGGCCUGCUUACUGUUGUCUUUGUUCCACUUGCUGUAAAACGCCAGCAGGAAAUGAAAUGUUAAGGUGGUUUCCUUAGGGUGUUGACCCUCCCCCACCUUACAGAUUUCUGGCUGUCUGAUUAAAGCGCACCUUAAAGAUUCAAUUCCUGUCUCUGCUGGCAUUAGGUGGUAACAGGUGGCCUGAGCUCUGGUCUUCUGGUUACACUGACACUGUCACUUGGUGUUAGAAUCUCACCAUUUGAAUCUUGAGGUCACAGAAGCAUUCGGUGCACUCAGUGAAUAACUGAAUGUGGGGUGGAGGGAGAUUGCGCAGGUUUUUGCACUGUUGGCCUCUGUGGCUAUCACCUGUGGCCUUGAAUGCAGGAGGCCUUGGGGGCAUGGGCUCGGGGUAUGCACGCCUGAUGGUGGACACCUGGAGUAUGGUGUGGGCAUGCAUAAGUGGGCACCCUGAGCCUGAAGGCUGAGCCCAUAAGGGCAGUGUCACCGAGGGCAGAGUGCAGGAGGAAGCGGCAGAGGAUGGUGAGGAGAGACGGUGGAGCCACUGCUAGGAGAGGAAGGACCAGGAGAGAAGGCCACAGAGCCCAGAAAGAGUAAAGAUUCGAGGGAGCUGGGGGGCCUGUCAGCCUUCCGCCCCCCCCCCAGGCCCCCCUACUUGUCCUGCAGCUGGUUGCUUCACUACAAAUGGUGUCGAAAGAUCAUUAAAAGGCUGAAAAAGCUACUGAGGGCUCUGGACUCUCCUUUGCC